rnacentral:rRNA from 1 species
GGGGGGGGGGGGGGGGGGGGGGGGGGGGGGGGGGGGGGGGGGGGGGGCGCGGGGGGGGUGGGGGGCUCGGGUGGCGGACGGGUGAGGGGCCCGGGAGUACCCUGCCCUUGACUUUGGGGUAGCUGCAGGCAACUGGGGCUAAUACCGGAUCGGAGCUCCUGCUGCCUGGUGGGGGUUGGAACGUUUCGGCGGUUGGGGAUGGACUCGCGGCUUAUCAGCUUGUUGGUGGGGUAGUGGCUUACCACGGCUUUGACGGGUAGCCGGCCUGAGAGGGUGACCGGCCACAUUGGGACUGAGAUACGGCCCAGACUCCUACGGGAGGCAGCAGUGGGGAAUAUUGCACAAUGGGCGGAAGCCUGAUGCAGCAACGCCGCGUGCGGGAUGACGGCCUUCGGGUUGUAAACCGCUUUCGCCUGUGACGAAGCGUGAGUGACGGUAAUGGGUAAAGAAGCACCGGCUAACUACGUG